CGUGCGCAGGCGGUUAUGUAAGACAGAUGUGAAAUACCCGGGCCGUCAACCUGGGAACGUGCAUUUGUGACUGCAUGGCUAGAGUACGGUAGAGGGGGAGUGGAAUUCCGCGUGUAGCAGUGAAAUGCGUAGAUAUGUGGAGGAACACCGAUGGCGAAGGCAGCCCCCUGGGUCAAGAUUGACGCUCAUGCACGAAAGCGUGGGGAGCAAACAGGAUUAGAUACCCUAGU
rnacentral:rRNA from 1 species